rnacentral:rRNA from 1 species
GUCGGGAAUUUUGGGCAAUGGGCGAAAGCCUGACCCAGCAACGCCGCGUGAAGGAUGAAAUCCCUCGGGAUGUAAACUUCGCAAGAACGGGAAGAAUAAGUAGGGGACAAUACCCCCUAUGAUGACGGUACCGUUUGUAAGCUCCGGCUAACUCCGUGCCAGCAGCCGCGGUAAUACGGGGGGAGCAAGCGUUGUUCGGAUUUACUGGGCGUAAAGGGCGCGUAGGCGGUCAGCACAAGUCAGUUGUGAAAUCUCCGAGCUUAACUCGGAAAGGUCAACUGAUACUGUGCGACUAGAGUGCGGAAGGGGCAACUGGAAUUCUUGGUGUAGCGGUGAAAUGCGUAGAUAUCAAGAGGAACACCUGCGGCGAAGGCGGGUUGCUGGGCCGACACUGACGCUGAGGCGCGAAAGCCAGGGGAGCGAACGGGAUUAGAAACCCGGGUAGUCC